UGUGUUGGUAGCUUGCUUAAAAACGUUGGUUGCUUGGGGAUUCCGGUUCCCUUGAGGUCACGUAAGAGAUAGGUUUAUGUUGUGUGUCGUAUUAAAGUAACAUCAUUGGAGUAUAAUCGAGUUAUCAAUGAUUGUGAGACCAAUUGAGUAAAAACGUCAAAGUGUGAAAGUGAGGAAUUGUGGACUGUUUUGAGUCGACUCGUGGACUGAUUUUUGUUAACAUUAACGUGUUAUUAUUUUUAUUAUGCUUUAGUGUUCUUAAUAGGUAUUAUGGCAUCAGGAAAGGUGACCAUGAACGAUUUGAUGACUGUCAUAAUGGGUAUGAAACAUGACCUUAGUAGUCGAAUGGAGAGAAUGGAAAGAAUAAUGGACCGAGUGGAAGAAAAAAUAGAAGGGACGGAAAGAUCUCUUUCCAAGGAGUUGGAUAAUUGGAUAGAGCAACCAAGCCUUCCUAAUUAAGUUCCCAUGAGUGGACAUGCUCCACAUAAGCUAUAUGGUAAUCAAACUAACUUUUGCACUCUAGUGAAUAAGUAGCCAACUAAGUAUGAAUGAUGGUUUGACUUUAGGUGAGCCGAAUGUGCCUCCAUUUGGUGAUGAUAAUGUACAACUUAAGAUUGUGGAAAUACUAGUUGAUCCAUCUAGUGUUGAAGCCAUUGUGGCAAGUAAUAGUACAUUGUCUUACGGAAGUCAUGAAGACUAACUUGUGUGUGAAAAUGGUGAUGUUGAACAUGUUGGCCGAUUGACUAAGGAUGACCCUCUAGUUGUUUUUGUUGUAGAUUACGUUAGUAUAGAGGGUGUAAAUGAGUGUAAUGGGGGUAGUCUUCGGGAAAGAAAGUAUGUCCUCCACCCGUGUCCAUGGACACUCUAACCCUUUGAUCCCGACGACCAUUUGAAAUGUGAUGUUGAUUCAUUUCAAACCAUAUUCGGGAAUGACGUAUGUGCAUUGUGUGUUGAUGCUAAGCAUGUCUUGUAUGUAAUUCAGGUUUCCUGUGAUUGGUGUGUCAUUUUUGAGAACCCGAGGGAUGCUUGGUUAUAUGUAAAAUUUGAGCCACUUUGGCAUGAUGCUAUGAUUGAUUACGCUAAUCCUAACCCUCAUACCUUGAGAAACUUGUGUAUUUUUCCUUCCUAUUAUUUUGCAAGGUUCGGAUUCACGGAUGAAUAUUUUCUAAAGAGGGGAGGAUGAUACGGGUCAAAGAGGCAUCUUAGCACUCGAGGAUAUGAAAACGUGAGGAAAGACCCGAGUUUAUGGGCUGCCUAACCAAGGAACAAGCUUUGAAAUGUAUAGAACAAGUCCCAACACUCCAAAGUUGUCCAAGAAGCCAAGCCCCUUUGUUUGGUCUCAUUAAGGGUCUUUUGGUCAUUUAUGUAAUAAGUGUUGCCCUAACCUAUAAAUAGAACAAUUAGGUCAUUUUGCCAUUUAAACUUUGAUGAUAUGUUUUGAGAGCACCAUAGAGUAUCUUGCAAAGUGGAAUCCUUGUGUUGGUAGCUUGCUUAGAAACGUUGGUUGCUUGGGAAUUCCGGUUCCCUUGAGGUCAAGUAAGAGAUAGGUUUAUGUUGUGUGUGGUAUUAAAGGUCCAAGAGUGGAAUAAGCUCUUGGGUUGUUAAUAUUACAUCUCCAUUUGUCUAUCUUUCUAUCUUUACUUUGUUCUAAUCGUUGGUGUUCUUGUUCUAGUAUUGUAAC
rnacentral:lncRNA from 1 species